rnacentral:rRNA from 1 species
AUGUGGGUAGUCCGUACGAGCGCACCUUGCUCCUUAUUUGCCAGCACGUAAUGGUGGGAACUCUAAGGAGACUGCCGGUGACAAACCGGAGGAAGGUGGGGACGACGUCAAGUCAUCAUGGCCCUUAUGACCAGGGCCUACACACGUGCUACAAUGGAGCGUACAGAGGGUUGCUAAGCCGCGAGGUGGAACCAAUCCCAGAAAACGUUUCGUAGUCCGGAUCGAAGUCUGCAACUCGACUUCGUGAAGUCGGAAUCGCUAGUAAUCGCGAAUCAGCAUGUCGCGGUGAAUACGUUCCCGGGCCUUGUACACACCGCCCGUCACACCAUGGGAGUGGGUUGCAAAAGAAGUGGCUAGUCUAACCUUCGGGAGGACGGUCACCACCUUGUGAUUCAUGACUGGGGUGAAGUCGUAACAAGGUAGCCCUAGGGGAACCUGGGGCUGGAUCACCUCCUU